rnacentral:rRNA from 1 species
UACGUAGGCAGCGAGCGUUGUUCGGAGUUACUGGGCGUAAAGGGUGUGUAGGCGGUUGUUUAAGUUUGGUGUGAAAUCUCCCGGCUCAACCUGGGAGGGUGCGCCGAAUACUGAAUGACUUCGAGUGCGGGAGAGGAGAGUGGAAUUCCUGGUGUAGCGGUGAAAUGCGUAGAUAUCAGGAGGAACACCGGUGGUGUAGACGGCUCUCUGGACCGUAACUGACGCUGAGACACGAAAGCGUGGUAGCAACAGG